GCCAUGUGUGUCGUGUCCUCACUGUUGUGUGCUGUGCUCCUUCCUUUUUUUGCAUCUGCCGCCAUCAAGGACCAGGGGCCAUGCCGGGCUAUCCUGAGGCCAGGUGGAAAUCGAGGCCAGGAGGAUGGACCCACAGCGUGGAAGGGCUGACCGAGCUCUUCUGGAAGAUGUCCUGCCUCGAAAAUACAUCUUGAGAAGAGUAAGAAAGAAAAGGCCAUUUUUCCUGUUUGGGGAACCCAAGGUGCCAGCGCUAGCGGAGACCUGAGAUGACUCAUGGCUGUUACCAGGCUGUUUCAUGGAACUCGUGAGAUGACACAGGGCUGUUACCAGGCUGUUUCAUGGAACUCCUGAGAUGACACGUGGCUGUUACCAGGCUGUUUCAUGGAACUUCGGAAGAGAUGGAACAUCUGAGUUUAAUAAACCAUGGAUACUGGAGGCAGCUAGAGGAAAGCACACCUGCUAUCCAAGCUCUUGGAGGUGGAGGCAAGAAGAUUGUGAAUUUGAGGCCUACCUGGCUGGGCUACAAGAGGCCCAGUCUCCAGAAACAAUAA